GGGUUGUGAGGUUAAGCGACUAAGCGUACACGGUGGAUGCCCUGGCAGUCAGAGGCGAUGAAGGACGUGCUAAUCUGCGAAAAGCGUCGGUAAGGUGAUAUGAACCGUUAUAACCGGCGAUGUCCGAAUGGGGAAACCCAGUGUGAUUCGUCACACUAUCGUUAACUGAAUACAUAGGUUAACGAGGCGAACCGGGGGAACUGAAACAUCUAAGUACCCCGAGGAAAAGAAAUCAACCGAGAUUCCCCCAGUAGCGGCGAGCGAACGGGGAGCAGCCCAGAGUCUGAAUCAGCUUGUGUGUUAGUGGAACGGUCUGGAAAGUCCGACGGUACAGGGUGAUAGUCCCGUACACCAAAAUGCACAGGUUGUGAACUCGAAGAGUAGGGCGGGACACGUGGUAUCCUGUCUGAAUAUGGGGGGACCAUCCUCCAAGGCUAAAUACUCCUGACUGACCGAUAGUGAACCAGUACCGUGAGGGAAAGGCGAAAAGAACCCCGGCGAGGGGAGUGAAAAAGAACCUGAAACCGUGUACGUACAAGCAGUGGGAGCACCUUCGGGUGUGACUGCGUACCUUUUGUAUAAUGGGUCAGCGACUUAUAUUCUGUAGCAAGGUUAACCGUAUAGGGGAGCCGCAGGGAAACCGAGUCUUAACUGGGCGUUAAGUUGCAGGGUAUAGACCCGAAACCCGGUGAUCUAGCCAUGGGCAGGUUGAAGGUUGGGUAACACUAACUGGAGGACCGAACCGACUAAUGUUGAAAAAUUAGCGGAUGACUUGUGGCUGGGGGUGAAAGGCCAAUCAAACCGGGAGAUAGCUGGUUCUCCCCGAAAGCUAUUUAGGUAGCGCCUCGUGAACUCAUCUUCGGGGGUAGAGCACUGUUUCGGCUAGGGGUCAUCCCGACUUACCAACCCGAUGCAAACUACGAAUACCGAAGAAUGUUAUCACGGGAGACACACGGCGGGUGCUAACGUCCGUCGUGAAGAGGGAAACAACCCAGACCGCCAGCUAAGGUCCCAAAGUCAUGGUUAAGUGGGAAACGAUGUGGGAAGGCACAGACAGCCGUGAUGUUGGCUUAGAAGCAGCCAUCAUUUAAAGAAAGCGUAAUAGCUCACUGGUCGAGUCGGCCUGCGCGGAAGAUGUAACGGGGCUAAACCAUGCACCGAAGCUGCGGCAGCGACACUAUGUGUUGUUGGGUAGGGGAGCGUUCUGUAAGCCUGCGAAGGUGUGCUGUGAGGCAUGCUGGAGGUAUCAGAAGUGCGAAUGCUGACAUAAGUAACGAUAAAGCGGGUGAAAAGCCCGCUCGCCGGAAGACCAAGGGUUCCUGUCCAACGUUAAUCGGGGCAGGGUGAGUCGACCCCUAAGGCGAGGCCGAAAGGCGUAGUCGAUGGGAAACAGGUUAAUAUUCCUGUACUUGGUGUUACUGCGAAGGGGGGACGGAGAAGGCUAUGUUAGCCGGGCGACGGUUGUCCCGGUUUAAGCAUGUAGGCUGAUUGUCCAGGCAAAUCCGGAUAAUCAAGGCUGAGGUGUGAUGACGAGGCACUACGGUGCUGAAGUAACAAAUGCCCUGCUUCCAGGAAAAGCCUCUAAGCAUCAGGUAACAUCAAAUCGUACCCCAAACCGACACAGGUGGUCAGGUAGAGAAUACCAAGGCGCUUGAGAGAACUCGGGUGAAGGAACUAGGCAAAAUGGUGCCGUAACUUCGGGAGAAGGCACGCUGGUGUGUAGGUGAAGUCCCUGCGGAUGGAGCUGAGACCAGUCGAAGAUACCAGCUGGCUGCAACUGUUUAUUAAAAACACAGCACUGUGCAAACACGAAAGUGGACGUAUACGGUGUGACGCCUGCCCGGUGCCGGAAGGUUAAUUGAUGGGGUUAUCCGUAAGGAGAAGCUCUUGAUCGAAGCCCCGGUAAACGGCGGCCGUAACUAUAACGGUCCUAAGGUAGCGAAAUUCCUUGUCGGGUAAGUUCCGACCUGCACGAAUGGCGUAAUGAUGGCGGGCUGUCUCCACCCGAGACUCAGUGAAAUUGAACUCGCUGUGAAGAUGCAGUGUACCCGCGGCAAGACGGAAAGACCCCGUGAACCUUUACUAUAGCUUGACACUGAACAUUGAGCCUUGAUGUGUAGGAUAGGUGGGAGGCUUUGAAGCGUGGACGCCAGUCUGCGUGGAGCCAACCUUGAAAUACCACCCUUUAAUGUUUGAUGUUCUAACGUUGGCCCCUUACCGGGGUUGCGGACAGUGUCUGGUGGGUAGUUUGACUGGGGCGGUCUCCUCCCAAAGCGUAACGGAGGAGCACGAAGGUUAGCUAAUCCUGGUCGGACAUCAGGAGGUUAGUGCAAUGGCAUAAGCUAGCUUGACUGCGAGCGUGACGGCGCGAGCAGGUGCGAAAGCAGGUCAUAGUGAUCCGGUGGUUCUGAAUGGAAGGGCCAUCGCUCAACGGAUAAAAGGUACUCCGGGGAUAACAGGCUGAUACCGCCCAAGAGUUCAUAUCGACGGCGGUGUUUGGCACCUCGAUGUCGGCUCAUCACAUCCUCGGGGCUGAAGUAGGUCCCAAGGGUAUGGCUGUUCGCCAUUUAAAGUGGUACGCGAGCUGGGUUUAGAACGUCGUGAGACAGUUCGGUCCCUAUCUGCCGUGGGCGCUGGAGAAUUGAGGGGGGCUGCUCCUAGUACGAGAGGACCGGAGUGGACGCAUCACUGGUGUUCGGGUUGUCAUGCCAAUGGCACUGCCCGGUAGCUAAAUGCGGAAGAGAUAAGUGCUGAAAGCAUCUAAGCACGAAACUUGCCCCGAGAUGAGUUCUCCCUGAGACUUUAAGUCUCCUGAAGGAACGUUGAAGACGACGACGUUGAUAGGCCGGGUGUGUAAGCGCAGCGAUGCGUUGAGCUAACCGGUACUAAUGAACCGUGAGGCUUAACCUUACAACGCCGAAG
rnacentral:rRNA from 1 species